GCCGGAGUGGCGGAAUUGGCAGACGCGGUGGAUUCAAAAUCCACUUCUGGAGACAGAGUGGGGGUUCGAGUCCCCCCUCCGGCA
rnacentral:tRNA from 2 species